rnacentral:rRNA from 1 species
GACGAACGCUGGCGGCGUGCUUAACACAUGCAAGUCGAGCGGAAAGGCCCUUCGGGGUACUCGAGCGGCGAACGGGUGAGUAACACGUGAGUAACCUGCCCCAGACUUUGGGAUAACCCUCGGAAACGGGGGCUAAUACCGAAUACGACACAGCUUCGCAUGUGGUCUUUGUGGAAAGUUUUUCGGUUUGGGAUGGGCUCGCGGCCUAUCAGCUUGUUGGUGGGGUGAUGGCCUACCAAGGCGACGACGGGUAGCCGGCCUGAGAGGGCGACCGGCCACACUGGGACUGAGACACGGCCCAGACUCCUACGGGAGGCAGCAGUGGGGAAUAUUGCACAAUGGGCGGAAGCCUGAUGCAGCGACGCCGCGUGAGGGAUGACGGCCUUCGGGUUGUAAACCUCUUUCAGCAGGGACGAAGCGUAAGUGACGGUACCUGCAGAAGAAGCGCCGGCCAACUACGUG